AUGGGCGCGGCUACCAUGCAGUCGAGCGGCAGCGGGGAGUACUUUGCUACUUUUGCCGGCGAGCGGCGGACGGGUGAGUAGUGCCUGGGGAUCUGCCCAGUCGAGGGGGAUAACAGUUGGAAACGACUGCUAAUACCGCAUACGCCCUACGGGGGAAAGGAGGGGACCUUCGGCUCUUUCCCGAUUGUGUGAACCCAGGUGGGAUUAGCUAGUUGGUGGGGUAAUGGCUCACCAGGGCGACUAUCCCUAGCUGGUCAGAGAGGAUGAUCACCCACUCUGGAACUGACACACGGUCCACACUCCUACGGGAGGCAGCAGUGGGAAAUAUUGCACAGUGGGGGAAACCCUGAUGCACCCGUGCCGCGUGUGUGAAGAAGGCCUUCGGUUUGUAAAGCUCUUUCAGCGAGGAAGAAAGGUUGGCGCCUAAUACGUGUCAACUGUGACUUUACUCACAAAAAAAGCACCGGCUAACUCCGUGCCAGCACCCGCGGUAAUACGGAGGGUGCAAGCGUUAAUCAGAUUUACUGGGCAUAACGCGCACGCGCGCGGUUGGAUAAGUUAUAUGUGAACCCCCCGGGCUCAACCUGGGAAUUGCAUUUAAAACUGUCCAGAUAGACUCUUGUAGAGGGGGAUAUAAUUCCGUGUGUAGCGGAGAAGUGCAUAGAUAUCUGGAAAAAUACCUGUGGCGAAGGCCCCCCCCUGGACAAAGACUGACUCUCAUGUGAGAAAGCGUGGAGAGCACACGAGAAUAUAUACCGUGGUACUCCACGCCAUAAACUAUGUCUAUUUGGAGUGUGUUUCUUGAAACGUGUCUUCCAGAUCUCACGCGAUAAAUCGACCGCCUGGAGAGUACGGCCGCAGGGUUAACACACAAAUGAUUUGACGGGCGCCCCACACACGCGGUGGAGCGUGUUGUUUUAUUUCUAUGCACGCAAACAC
rnacentral:rRNA from 1 species